rnacentral:rRNA from 1 species
AUUGAACGCUGGCGGUAUGCUUAACACAUGCAAGUCGAACGGUAGCAGGCCUUCGGGCGCUGACGAGUGGCGGACGGGUGAGUAACGCGUAGGAAUCUGCCUCAUAGUGGGUGACAACGUGGGGAAACUCACGCAAAACCCGCAUACGCCCUACGGGGGAAAGCGGGGGAACUUCGGACCUCGCGCUAGGAGAUGAGACUGCGUUGGAUUAGCUAGUUGGUAGGGUAAAGGACUACCAAGGCGACGAUCUAUAGCUGGUCUGAGAGGACGAUCAGCCACACUGGGACGGAGACACGGCCCAGACUCCUACGGGAGGCAGCAGUGGGGAAUAUUGGACAAUGGGCGCAAGCCUGAUCCAGCAAUACCGCGUGUGUGAAGAAGGCCCUAGGGUCGUAAAGCACUUUCAAUAGGGAGGAAAACCUGUCGGUCAAUACCCGGCAGCUUGACAUUACCUAUACAAGAAGCACCGGCUAACUCCGUGCCAGCCGCCGCGGUAAUAC